GGGGCUGACUGGAUUUGACAGCGGGACGAGAUGGUACGUAAGCAUGCGGAGUAACGGCUGUGAACUCCAUAAUCCCUUCGGUCGACAAUUUAAUUGGCGAAAACAACUACGCUCUCGCUGCUUAAUCGAAGUAUAGUAGAUUAACUUUAUUCCUUCGCUAGGCGUUGGAACGAGACAUCGCUCAGAGCCCACUCCUUGAGGCUGACUGGUCAAUGCGGUGCAAUAAUUUCAGGGAUAGUCAACGGCUUGUCUCGUGUCGGUGAUGAAAUUUUAGAGGAUAAGGCAGUGGUUGGUGGCUUGGGUCUUGCUGCUGCACGAAAAUGAAGGCCAAGAUAAGCAUGUAGAAAGCGUAUGGUUUCCCCGUUUGGACGAGGGUUCGACUCCCUCCAGCUCCACAU
rnacentral:tmRNA from 1 species